AUGAAGCUGGAAUUGCUAGUAAUGGCAGGUCAGCAUACUGCCGUGAAUACGUUCCCGGGCCUUGUACACACCGCCCGUCACACCAUGAGAGCCGGUAACACCCGAAGUCAGUAGCCUAACCGCAAGGGGGGCGCUGCCGAAGGUGGGAUUGGUAAUUGGGGUGAAGUCGUAACAAGGUAAC
rnacentral:rRNA from 1 species